rnacentral:rRNA from 1 species
UACGUAGGGGGCUAGCGUUGUCCGGAUUUAUUGGGCGUAAAGAGCGUGUAGGCGGCCAGGUAGGUCUGCUGUGAAAACUCGAGGCUUAACCUCGAGAUGUCGGCGGAAACCAUCUGGCUAGAGUCCGGAAGAGGAGAGUGGAAUUCCUGGUGUAGCGGUGAAAUGCGUAGAUAUUGGGAGGAACACCAGUGGCGAAGGCGGCUCACUGGACCGGUACUGACGCUGAUGCGCGAAAGCGUGGGGAGCAAACGGG